rnacentral:rRNA from 1 species
UUUCUUGAUCAGUAAAAUUCUGUUGUUAUUGGAAGAACAAGUACCGUUCGAAUACGGCGGUACCUUGACGGUACCUAACCAGAAAGCCACGGCUAACUACGUGCCAGCAGCCGCGGUAAUACGUAGGUGGCAAGCGUUGUCCGGAAUUAUUGGGCGUAAAGCGCGCGCAGGCGGUUUCUUAAGUCUGAUGUGAAAGCCCCCGGCUCAACCGGGGAGGGUCAUUGGAAACUGGGGAACUUGAGUGCAGAAUAGGAGAGUGGAAUUCCACGUG